rnacentral:rRNA from 1 species
GACGAACGCUGGCGGCGUGCUUAACACAUGCAAGUCGAACGGAAAGGCCCUGCUUUUGUGGGGUUCUCGAGUGGCGAACGGGUGAGUAACACGUGAGUAACCUGCCCUUGACUUUGGGAUAACUUCAGGAAACUGGGGCUAAUACCGGAUAGGAGCUCCUGCUGCAUGGUGGGGGUUGGAAAGUUUCGGCGGUUGGGGAUGGACUCGCGGCUUAUCAGCUUGUUGGUGGGGUAGUGGCUUACCAAGGCUUUGACGGGUAGCCGGCCUGAGAGGGUGACCGGCCACAUUGGGACUGAGAGACGGCCCAGACUCCUACGGGAGGCAGCAGUGGGGAAUAUUGCACAAUGGGCGGAAGCCUGAUGCAGCAACGCCGCGUGCGGGAUGCCGGCCUUCGGGUUGUAAACCGCUUUCGCCUGUGACGAAGCGUGAGUGACGGUAAUGGGUAAAGAAGCACCGGCUAACUACGUG